CCUACGGGAGGCUGCAGUGGGGAAUAUUGCACAAUGGGGGAAACCCUGAUGCAGCGACGCCGCGUGAAGGAAGAAGUAUUUCGGUAUGUAAACUUCUAUCAGCAGGGAAGAAAAUGAUGGUACCUGACUAAGAAGCCCCGGCUAACUACGUGCCAGCAGCCGCGGUAAUACGUAGGGGGCAAGCGUUAUCCGGAUUUACUGGGUGUAAAGGGAGCGUAGGCGGUUUAGCAAGUCAGAAGUGAAAGCCCGGGGCCCAACCCCGGGACUGCUCUUGGAACUGCGUGGCUGGAGUGCAGGAGGGGCAGGCGGAAUUCCUGGUGUAGCGGUGAAAUGCGUAGAUAUCAGGAGGAACACCGGUGGCGAAGGCGGCCUGCUGGACUGCAACUGACGUUGAGGCCCGAAAGCGUGGGGAGCAAACAGGAUUAGAUACCCCAGUAGUC
rnacentral:rRNA from 1 species